GAGCUGUGUGAGCCGUGCGAGCUGUGUUUGCCUGCUGGGCUGCGUCUGGGAUCAUUUCCCCCUGAAUCUGGGUGUCAACUUGCUGCUAGAGGAGUGGCUGUUGUGAAGCCACAGACUCCCCACCUCUCCUACUGGGUGAUCAGUUUGGAUGCUUUUGGCCAGGAGCGGCCAGUUAAGCUGCAGUGGAACCUACCAGCUGUUUUGUCCUGCCGGGUUGCUGCCACGACCAGCGUUGGCACACGUAAUCACGCCUGGUCUGCCUCUGCUCCGUGGAGUCGGCCGCCUGCACUCCAAUCUACUGGCUGACCUCCUGAACAGAGCUUGAACGCUCGUGGAACGCCAGGCGGAAGA